rnacentral:rRNA from 1 species
CCGGAUGCCGAUCUCGAAAACCUGUCCCAGUUCGGACUGGAGUCUGCAACCCGACUCCACGAAGUUGGAUUCGCUAGUAAUCGCGCAUCAGCCAUGGCGCGGUGAAUACGUUCCCGGGCCUUGUACACACCGCCCGUCAAGCCAUGGGAGCCGGGGGCGCCUGAAGUCCGGGACCGCGAGGACCGGCCUAGGGCGAAACUGGUGACUGGGGCUAAGUCGUAACAAGGUAGC